GAAACCCAGUGUGACUCGUCACACUAUCAUUAACUGAAUCCAUAGGUUAAUGAGGCGAACCGGGGGAACUGAAACAUCUAAGUACCCCGAGGAAAAGAAAUCAACCGAGAUUCCCCCAGUAGCGGCGAGCGAACGGGGAGGAGCCCAGAGCCUGAAUCAGCAUGUGUGUUAGUGGAAGCGUCUGGAAAGGCGCGCGAUACAGGGUGACAGCCCCGUACACAAAAGCGCAUGUGCUGUGAGCUCGAUGAGUAGGGCGGGACACGUGGUAUCCUGUCUGAAUAUGGGGGGACCAUCCUCCAAGGCUAAAUACUCCUGACUGACCGAUAGUGAACCAGUACCGUGAGGGAAAGGCGAAAAGAACCCCGGCGAGGGGAGUGAAAAAGAACCUGAAACCGUGUACGUACAAGCAGUGGGAGCACCCUUUGGGGUGUGACUGCGUACCUUUUGUAUAAUGGGUCAGCGACUUAUAUUCUGUAGCAAGGUUAACCGCAUAGGGGAGCCGGAGGGAAACCGAGUCUUAAUUGGGCGUUAAGUUGCAGGGUAUAGACCCGAAACCCGGUGAUCUAGCCAUGGGCAGGUUGAAGGUUGGGUAACACUAACUGGAGGACCGAACCGACUAAUGUUGAAAAAUUAGCGGAUGACCUGUGGCUGGGGGUGAAAGGCCAAUCAAACCGGGAGAUAGCUGGUUCUCCCCGAAAGCUAUUUAGGUAGC
rnacentral:rRNA from 1 species